rnacentral:rRNA from 1 species
GAUGAACGCUGGCGGCGUGCCUAAUACAUGCAAGUCGAGCGAACAGACGAGGAGCUUGCUCCUUUGACGUUAGCCGAGCACGGGUGUGUCACGCGUGGAUCACCUACCUAUAUGACUGGGAUCACUUCGGGAAACCGGAGCUUAUCGCGGAGAAUAUAUUGCACCGCGUGGGUCAAUGGUGAAAGACGGUUUUGCUGUAUCUUAUAGAUGCAUCGGGGCCGCAUUAGCUAGUUGGUACGGUAACGGGCUACCAAGGCUACGAGGCGUAAACGAACUGAGAGGGUGGUCGGCCACACUGGAACGGAGACACGGUCAAGACGCCUACGGGAGGGAGCAGUAGGCAAUCGUCCGCAAUGGGCGAAAGCCUGACGGAACAACGCCGCGUGAGUGAUGAAGGUCUUCGGAUCGUAAAAAUCUGUUAUUAGGGAUGAACAAAUGUGUAAGUAGAUAUGCACGUCUUGACGGUACCGAAUCAGAAAGCCACGGCUAACUACGUG